rnacentral:rRNA from 1 species
GGACGAACGCUGGCGGCGUGCUUAACACAUGCAAGUCGAGCGGUAAGGCCCUUUCGGGGGUACGACGAGCGGCGAACGGGUGAGUAACACGUGGGUGACCUGCCCUCAGCUCUGGGAUAAGCCCGGGAAACUGGGUCUAAUACCGGAUAUGACUCCAUGACGCAUGUUGUGGGGUGGAAAGCCUUGUGCGGCUGAGGAUGGGCCCGCGGCCUAUCAGCUUGUUGGUGGGGUGAGGCCUACCAAGGCGACGACGGGUAGCCGGCCUGAGAGGGCGACCGGCCACACUGGGACGUGAGACACGGCCCAGACUCCUACGGGAGGGCAGCAGUGGGGAAGUCUUGCGCAAUGGGCGAAAGCCUGACGCAGCGACGCCGCGUGAGGGAUGACGGCCUCGGUUGUAA